GAAUUCGAUUCAGGCCUAACACAUACAAGUCGUACGGGAGUUUUUAACUCUAGUGGCGGACGGGUGAGUAACACGUGAGAAUUAGCCUUUAGGAGGGGGAUAACAAUUGGAAACGAAUGAUAAUACCCCAUAUGCUUUUGAGUGAAAUGGAUUUAUCCGCCUAAAGAGAAGCUCGCGGUUGAUUAGCUUGUUGGUAAGGUAAGAGCUUACCAAGGCGACGAUCAGUAUCUGGUUUGAGAGGACGAUCAGACACACUGGAACUGAGACACGGUCCAGACUCCUACGGGAGGCAGCAGUGGGGAAUUUUCCGCAAAGGGCGAAAGCCUGACGGAGCAAUACCGCGUGAGGGACAAGGGCCUAUGGGUUGUAAACCUCUUUUUCCAGGGAGGAAUCAAUGACGUGUAC
rnacentral:rRNA from 1 species